UACGGGGGGGGCAAGCGUUGUUCGGAAUUACUGGGCGUAAAGGGCUCGUAGGCGGCCAACUAAGUCAGACGUGAAAUCCCUCGGCUUAACCGGGGAACUGCGUCUGAUACUGGAUGGCUUGAGGUUGGGAGAGGGAUGCGGAAUUCCAGGUGUAGCGGUGAAAUGCGUGGAUAUCGUGAGGAACACUAGUGGCGAAGGCGGGUCUCUGGACAGUAUCUGACGCUGAGGCACGAAGGCCAGGGAGCGAACGGG
rnacentral:rRNA from 1 species